rnacentral:tRNA from 1 species
GGGAGUGUCGGUUAAUGGUAAACCAGCGGUCUCCAAAACCGCAACUGAGGGUUCGAUUCCUUCCACUCCCGCCA